rnacentral:lncRNA from 1 species
AAGCUUCCCUAGAAGCCCCCACUCCAUGGUGUAGGGGAAGAGAAGAGGGUGCCCAAAAAGGAGGAGUUUGGUUUCCUGGUGCCCAUGAGGGCGUGGCCACCUGGGUGACCUGCAGGGCAUAUUGGGGAGGCCCUAUUUGAGAGCUGGAGAAGGGUCGGUGGCGUGCAGAUCUUUCUGGUUGCAGCCCACAAUAAGUACAGACUACUCUGUGACUCAGCACUUGUCUGCACAUACACGCUUGUACACCCAUGUAAGUGGAAAAAAAGUCAUGAAACAAAACUCAUUUUCUGGUAAUUUCUAUUCUAUUCUGUAUCAUUUUUAAAG